UAAAAAAAAAAAAAAAAAGGAAAAAAAAAGCAGUUAUUUUGUACAACUCUUCCAUUUCAACAG
rnacentral:ribozyme from 1 species